ACUGUCGGGGAGACAGUAAACCAGAUGGGAAAGCCGUAGAUAAGCACUGGUCUGAUGGCCACCUUGUAUAGCAACAACUUUGUGGAUUGGGAGUUGUCCGUGCGUGGGAGUUGAAUUUCAUCAGCUUGUCAAACGUGAUGCCAAGAUAUUUGAUGCUGGAUUCAAUUGGGAUGUUAACGCCGUUGAGUAUAAGUUCCAGAGAUUUGCUUUGAGGAACCACGUAUUUUGGGCAUUUCCCAGAUGCGUUUCUUAUGCAGAUUGCCUUUGAUUUCCCUGCAUUAAUUUGUAUGCCCCAAGUGUUAUAGUAAUUAUUUAUGAUAUUAAGGUGCUGCGCUGCUUUCCUGAGAGCAAUUUCUGGUGAGGUGUCAUGUGCAUAUAUUAAACAAUCAUCGGCAUAUAAAAUUGCUUGGGAAUUUUGUGCAACAUGGGGAAAGUCAUGCAGGAAGUAAUUAAAAAGAUGCGGUGCCAACACACUUCCUUGUGGCACCCCACUACAAACGGAACCAGAAUCGGAUAAGGUACCCUGAAUGUCAACACAAAAUUUCCGAUCUGUUAAAAAGCUUUUUAUAGUUUUUACAAGAUAAGGAUCCACCUCCAAAUCAAUCAACUUAUAUAAUAUUCCUUUAUGGCAAACUGAAUCAAAUGCCUUUGCAAUGUCAAGGGAAAUCGCUACAGUACAUACUUGAUUCCGUAAAUUAGUGGUAAUGUCGUUAUGGAAUUUUAACAAUGCAUGCUGCGUGGAGUGCGCUUUUCUGAAUCCAAACUGGUAACUUGUUAUUGGUUCAAUAAGGAAUCCAUUUUCUAUCUUCUGUUUCAGGACUUGCUCAAAUAUCUUCCCGAUGUUAGACAAUAAGGAUAUUGGACGAAAAUCGGAUGGGCUAAUGGAUUCGGUGUUUUUUUUUAUUGGAAGUAUUUUUGCUACCUUCCACUCAGCCGGAAAGUACCCAUUAUUUAUGCAGUGAUUAAAUAUGCAAGGUCGACGAAAUGGAGGCUAUCUGCAUUCUGAAAGGCAUUAAAUUCAGCAUCAAGUGUGAAAAUAGAACGAGGGAUGACAUUUAUGGUGUUUGAUAUUCUUGAGUGGAAAUCUUCAAUCGGACGUGGAGGCAAGCUUUCGCGGAAAGUAUUUGAGUAAAACUCGUGGAACUGGUUCAUAAUAGACGAGGGCAUGAUGCGGCAAGACGCUGAAUCCAUGUCUUGCUUAAAAUUGCUCCAAUUUGUAUCCUUAUAUGAUGUAAAGAUGCGAGGGGUUCUCAUAAGAAGCUCUGUUUGAUCCAUACGCAGGGACAAUUUAAUUGGAAAAUGGUCUGAGAAGGAUGACAAGGAUGCAACUUCAAAAUUUGGAAGAGUAUCAUUUAACAGGUGCGGACUGAUGAGGAAAUGGUCCAAGAAUGAAGAACCGUUUGGAAAUGAUGGAGAAGAAUCACAAAUUCGGUGUAUCACCCCAGACAGGACUUUUUGAGUUUAGAUCACCUCCAAGGAUAAAUCCAUCAAAAUUCCUACAAAGUUGAAUGAGUUUUAAUA